UCGAGAAUCUUCGGCAAUGGGCGCAAGCCUGACCGAGCGACGCCGCGUGGAGGAUGAAGGCCUUCGGGUUGUAAACUCCUGUCGAGGGGGAGGAAGGCGUAAGCUUGACCUAUCCCUGGAGGAAGCACGGGCUAAGUUCGUGCCAGCAGCCGCGGUAAGACGAACCGUGCGAACGUUAUUCGGAAUCACUGGGCUUAAAGCGCGUGUAGGCGGAUGGGGACGUCGGUCGCUGAAAUCCCCCGGCUCAACCGGGGAACGGGCGCCGAAACGCCCCGUCUGGAGGGACGUAGGGGGACCUGGAACUUCCGGUGGAGCGGUGAAAUGCGUUGAGAUCGGAAGGAACGCCCGUGGCGAAAGCGAGGUCCUGGACGUCUUCUGACGCUGAGACGCGAAAGCUAGGGUAGCGAACG
rnacentral:rRNA from 1 species